CAUCCCAAUGAAGUUUGUCGUUGCAAUUAAAAAAAGUAGUGGGCUGACCUUCAUUGAAGACAAACCAUUUCUGAGGGACU